AUUGAACGCUGGCGGCAGGCCUAACACAUGCAAGUCGAGCGGAUGAAGGGAGCUUGCUCCUGGAUUCAGCGGCGGACGGGUGAGUAAUGCCUAGGAAUCUGCCUGGUAGUGGGGGAUAACGUCCGGAAACGGGCGCUAAUACCGCAUACGUCCUGAGGGAGAAAGUGGGGGAUCUUCGGACCUCACGCUAUCAGAUGAGCCUAGGUCGGAUUAGCUAGUUGGUGGGGUAAAGGCCUACCAAGGCGACGAUCCGUAACUGGUCUGAGAGGAUGAUCAGUCACACUGGAAAUGAGACACGGUCCAGACUCCGACGGGAGGCAGCAGUGGGGAAUAUUGGACAAUGGGCGAAAGCCUGAUCCAGCCAUGCCGCGUGUGUGAAGAAGGUCUUCGGAUUGUAAAGCACUUUAAGUUGGGAGGAAGGGCAGUAAGUUAAUACCUUGCUGUUUUGACGUUACCAACAGAAUAAGCACCGGCUAACUUCGU
rnacentral:rRNA from 1 species